GACGAACGCUGGCGGCGUGCUUAACACAUGCAAGUCGAACGGAAAGGCCCUGCUUUUGUGGGGUGCUCGAGUGGCGAACGGGUGAGUAACACGUGAGUAACCUGCCCUUGACUUUGGGAUAACUUCAGGAAACUGGGGCUAAUACCGGAUAGGAGCUCCUGCUGCAUGGUGGGGGUUGGAAAGUUUCGGCGGUUGGGGAUGGACUCGCGGCUUAUCAGCUUGUUGGUGGGGUAGUGGCUUACCAAGGCUUUGACGGGUAGCCGGCCUGAGAGGGUGACCGGCCAAAUGGGGAUGAAGAAACGGCCCAGACUCCGAGGGGGGGCAGCGGGGGGGAAAAUUGCAAAAGGGGCGGAAGCCGGAUGCAGCAACGCCGGGGGGGGGAUGACGGCCUUCGGGUUGUAAACCGUUUUCGCCUGUGACGAAGCGUGAGGGGCGGUAAUGGGUAAAGAAGCACCGGCUAACUACGU
rnacentral:rRNA from 1 species